rnacentral:rRNA from 1 species
UACGUAGGUGGCAAGCGUUGUCCGGAAUUAUUGGGCGUAAAGCGCGCGUAGGUGGUUUAAUAAGUCUGAUGUGAAAGCCCACGGCUCAACCGUGGAGGGUCAUUGGAAACUGUUAAACUUGAGUGCAGGAGAGAAAAGUGGAAUUCCUAGUGUAGCGGUGAAAUGCGUAGAUAUUAGGAGGAACACCAGUGGCGAAGGCGGCUUUCUGGCUAUUAACUGACGCUGAGGCGCGAAAGCGUGGGAAGCAAACAGG